AGAGUUUGAUCCUGGCUCAGGAUGAACGCUAGCGGCAGGCCUAACACAUGCAAGUCGAGGGGCAGCAUGGCGUAGCGAUACGCUGAUGGCGACCGGCGCACGGGUGCGUAACGCGUAUGCAACCUGUCCGGCGCAGUGGGGUAGCCCGUCGAAAGGCGGGGUAAUCCCGCAUGAACCGGUAUUCCCGCAUGGGGGUGCCGGCAAAGUGGAGACGCGGGGCCGGAGGGGCAUGCGUGCCAUUAGCUGGCUGGAGGGGUAACGGCCCACCAGGGCGAUGAUGGCUAGGGGGUCUGAGAGGAUGGUCUCCCACACUGGUACUGAGACACGGACCAGACUCCUACGGGAGGCAGCAGUGAGGAAUAUUGGUCAAUGGGCGGAAGCCUGAACCAGCCAUGCCGCGUGCAGGAAGGAGGCCCUACGGGUUGUAAACUGCUUUUACCCGGGAAGAAACCGCCCCCUGUGGGGGGCGUUGCCGGUACCGGGGGAAAAAGGAUCGGCUAACUCCGUGCCAGCAGCCGCGGUAAUACGGAGGAUCCGGGCGUUAUCCGGAAUUACUGGGUUUAAAGGGUGCGUAGGCGGGGCUUUAAGCCGGCGGUGAAAUGCAGCGGCUCAACCGCUGGAAUGCCGUUGGGACUGGGGCUCUUGGAUACGGUCGGGGCGGGUGGAACUCGUGGUGUAGCGGUGAAAUGCAUAGAUAUCACGAGGAACGCCGGUAGCGAAGGCAGCUCGCCGGGCCGGUAUUGACGCUGAGGCACGAAAGCGUGGGGAUCGAACAGGAUUAGAUACCCUGGUAGUCCACGCCGUAAACGAUGAUGGCUGGGUGUUGGCGAUAGACGGUCAGCGCCUGAGGGAAACCAUUAAGCCAUCCACCUGGGGAGUACGGCCGCAAGGCUGAAACUCAAAGGAAUUGACGG
rnacentral:rRNA from 1 species